AGAGGAGACUCGGGGGCCAUUUUGUGAAGAGACGAAGACUGAGCGGUUGUGGCCGCGUUGCCGACCUCCAGCAGCAGUCGGCUUCUCUACGCAGAACCCGGGAGUAGGAGACUCAGAAUCGAAUCUCUUCUCCCUCCCCUUCUUGGGCAGCAAGGCGAACCCCAUCCCUACUCACUGGAGCUCAGCUUUGAUUUUUAACCUCCCUUCCCCACCCUUCCAGAACACACACAUUCCAUUCCAAAACUGAUUUUAUAAAGACAUUUUAAACAUAAUGUUGCAACUUGGUGUGCACUACGGCAAAUGUACAGGUGUUUUUUUUUUAAUUGUUUCCAAAACCGGGACCUGGAUUUAAGAUGUAAUUUUUAAAAUUUCUAUUUCUAUUUUUUCUGCAGCAGUUGGGUUAGAGGAGGAGGAGCCUUUUAGCCUCUCAUAAACUGACCUCUCUACUUCCUCGUGUAUUUUUAAGAUUGAUUGAUGAUGUGGAAAGGGCUUUGCUUGUCUGCUACUGAAAACUUUAUCCUUGCGGUUUUUGUGGAAACUGCUUUUGGAAAGAGAAAAGAAAUGAACUUUACUGACUUGACAUUUUUGCACCUCCCGUUUUUCUAAUCUGGGCUAUUUUUAUUUUUGUUUUUUUACAGUGAGAUUUUUUUGAUCUUCAGCUACACUGCAGCAACAUGGAUGCCCAGCCUGGAGCAGCAGCAGCCAGGAUGACCUGGAGCCAGGGGGGCCUUCGGAACAGAUGCACACCCUUCCUGGGUGA
rnacentral:sRNA from 1 species